UUUUACAUAAAAACACGGAUAUAUCUUUUCUUUUGACCGAAGUCAGCAGGGGAAGCUCCUACCUAUUUUUUUAUAAUUUUUAUUUUAGAUCCGUUUAAUUCGCUCCCAUAGGGAGUCGAACCCGAACAUGCUGGGUGCUACUCAGGUGCUCUAAUCACUAUGCUCAAAAAAUCACAUAAUCUUUAAAAGUAGCAUAUUUUGAUGAAUUUUAGUUUUAAGAUUUUAAAUGAUAUAUAUGUGUUUUUGUGUAAAAUGAGUUCAUCUCUAU
rnacentral:lncRNA from 1 species